AGGGGUAGUAAGUGCUUGCACUUAUGAGACCGGCGCACGGGUGCGUAACGCGUAUGCAAUCUACCUUAUACAGAGGGAUAGCCCAGAGAAAUUUGGAUUAAUACCUCAUAGUAUUAUCGAAUGGCAUCAUUUGAUAAUUAAAGUUCCAACGGUAUAAGAUGAGCAUGCGUCCCAUUAGUUAGUUGGUAAGGUAACGGCUUACCAAGACUAUGAUGGGUAGGGGUCCUGAGAGGGAGAUCCCCCACACUGGUACUGAGACACGGACCAGACUCC
rnacentral:rRNA from 1 species